UUCGUACAAGAGGAAGCUGAGCUUGCUCAGUCACUCGAUCUAUUCAAUCAUGUACAAUAUAUGAUCGGUGAUAGAUGCUCCCUCACUUAUCUGAGCAUUGAAAAUGGUAGAACUAGUUUUGUACCGCUCAACAUCAUCGGGAGUAUCAAAGGACUCUCUCAACACCUUGAGCAUGUCCUCUGACUGAGCCUCUUCAAACUUUUGACUAAACUCAUCAUUCAUGGAGGCCCACAUUAUACAACAAAUCAUGGUGUAGUCGUUGAGCCACUUCAAGUAAGUAUCUCUAACUAUGCCACAAGCGU
rnacentral:lncRNA from 1 species